UACGGAGGGGGCUAGCGUUGUUCGGAAUUACUGGGCGUAAAGCGCGCGUAGGCGGCUUUGUAAGUUAGAGGUGAAAGCCCGGAGCUCAACUCCGGAACUGGCCUUUAAGACUGCAUCGCUAGAACGUCGGAGAGGUAAGUGGAAUUCCGAGUGUAGAGGUGAAAUUCGUAGAUAUUCGGAAGAACACCAGUGGCGAAGGCGACUUACUGGACGACUGUUGACGCUGAGGUGCGAAAGCGUGGGGAGCAAACAGG
rnacentral:rRNA from 1 species